UUAAGAAGCAGCUUGAAGACGAACGGCGAGAAUGCAGCCAGUUCUGGGAUUCUCUCUACUUAAUAGGACGCCGUUCCGCGACCCUACUCAACUCUUGCGCUUUGAAAGAGGAAAGCUCCCGUCUCAGUGCCCUAGCUCCGAUGAUCCUUGACUCCACUAUCCAAUCUGCGUGUUACCUGACCUCUCUCCGAUUUCUGAGAUUCAAAGAUUGUUCAGAGGGCCUGGAGAUCAUUUACAAUCCAUUCUCGUCCUUUCCUAAACCUUCUUCAUUCUUCCCACUACUGAACUUUUGACCUGCUAAAAUAAGGACAUGACAGAACAGAUUGUUUGAAUUAGAGUGAGCAAAAGGAGAAAAAUUGCAGCAAAGAAAGAUGCUAUUUUCCAAGGAGUGCUCAAGUACUCAUUUUUAAAGAUUGCCUUAUAGUUGUGUUGGCUUGCACAAUAUAUAGGCUUCAGUCUGCCGUAUUCUCUUCUUGGUAAUUGAUCCGGAAAGUAAAAGAUCCUUAGCAUAUCAUUCAGGUGAUGGAUCAAUUUUGUGAAUGUAGGUGAUUUGGAUGGAGUAGUGCUGACCAGCUGUUCAAGGUAGUUUUGCUGAAAAUAGUUAAAAGUAAAGUCCAUAAUAAUUUCCUUUUUUGGACCAAGAUGUUGCAGGAACACCCUCCUAAAAAGUUGAAGGCUAUUUCAACGAAUGAAAAUCUAGCAUUGAAGCCUGUGGGAAAACUUAGGUCAAAUAGGCCUUUGAGAACAAAAAAUGGCAGUUGAUUCCCAAGUAAAAUAAAGUCUUGAUUUAUAUCGCAUGUUGGCCAUAAUUUGAAACUCCAAGGGUUUCGUUCUAACAGACCUAAACAUGAGAUAAAGUACUCAAUGAUGAAAGAAGCAUCAAUUAGGAUCAUGUUUGUAAAAUCAUCACUCUCCACUGGAAUGGUGUCUGAAUAACAGCAUCGAAUUCUAUCUUCCCAAUCUCUUAGGGCUUUAACAUAAUCCUCCAACAAUUUCUCGAGUCCUUUCUAGAAAGUUGUUGAGGCACCAUAGUUUUACCUUUGCCAUUGAUUCCAAUCUCUUGUCUCCAUGGUGAAAUGGCCCAAUUGAAACUAAGGUAGGAGAGCAGGCUUCUUCACUCACUUCCUGAGUUUUUGGUGGAACUUUGUAGAUGCAGCAUCCUGAUGCUGAGGGAAGCUCUCUAUGCCUUCUAAUUUGGCUUUUAAGGAGCUUAACAAAUCAGAUAUGUUACAGUAAGAGAUACAAGGAAGAGGUACUUAACCUGAUGUUUUGAAUGAUGUAGCCCUGUAACUGAAGAGAAGAGCAUAUCACCAAUCGGAAAGACAAGACCUUACUCUAUCAAUUUCUAAACUCAUCGAGCGAUCAAAGCUUUAGGCCUUUUGUACACUCUAUAGUGCUCAAGUCAUCAACUUGAAGUCUUUGGAGACACAAUAAUACAGUUCAAGUCUGACAGAGUCAAAAACAUGUGGGGUCCAAUCUUAAAGUCUUGCCACCUUAAAACGAGCGUUCAAUUUGCCAAUUUGCUUUUAUGACUUGUGCUUUCAGUCUCCUUCAUGAAAACUUGUGGUCAUGCUAGGAUUUUUUUGUCGGUCUCCUUCCUUGUUGCAACGUACAACUUAGAAUGAUGUACCUUUGCAAAUUCUCUCUUGAUAAUGAAAAUAUAGAAACAUGAGAAAAGGGAGCCUAUGCUUCCAUCGAGUUUGAUUGUA